GCAUAUCAAUAAGCGGAGGAAAAGAAACCAACAGGGAUUACCUCAGUAACGGCGAGUGAAGCGGUAAAAGCUCAAAUUUGAAAUCUGGCUCUUUUAGAGUCCGAGUUGUAAUUUGUAGAAGAUGCUUCGGGUGUGGUUCCGGUCUAAGUUCCUUGGAACAGGACGUCAUAGAGGGUGAGAAUCCCGUAUGUGACUGGAUACCUAUGCUCAUGUGAAGCUCUUUCGACGAGUCGAGUUGUUUGGGAAUGCAGCUCAAAAUGGGUGGUAUAUUUCAUCUAAAGCUAAAUAUUGGCCAGAGACCGAUAGCGCACAAGUAGAGUGAUCGAAAGAUGAAAAGCACUUUGGAAAGAGAGUUAAACAGUACGUGAAAUUGUUGAAAGGGAAGCGCUUGCAAUCAGACUUGCACUUGGUGUUCAUCGGGGUUUCUACCCCGUGUACUUCAUCAAGUUCAGGCCAGCAUCAGUUUGGGUGGUUAGAUAAAGGCUUAGAGAAUGUGGCCCUCUUCGGGGGGUGUUAUAGCUCUAGGUGCAAUGUAGCCUACCUGGACUGAGGACCGCGCUUCGGCUAGGAUGCUGGCGUAAUGGUUGUAAGCGACCCGUCUUGAAACACGGACCAAGGAGUGUACCUAAUAUGCGAGUGUUUGGGUGUUAAACCCAUACGCGUAAUGAAAGUGAACGGAGGUGAGAGCCCUUAAGGGUGCAUCAUCGACCGAUCCUGAUGUCUUCGGAUGGAUUUGAGUAAGAGCAUAUUGGGUGCGACCCGAAAGAUGGUGAUCUAUACGUGAAUAGGGUGAAGCCAGAGGAAACUCUGGUSGAGGCUCGCAGCGGYUCUGMCGYGCMAAUCGAUCSUCAAMUYUGCGYAYAGGGGCGAAAGACUAA
rnacentral:rRNA from 1 species